rnacentral:rRNA from 1 species
UACGAAGGGGGCUAGCGUUGCUCGGAAUUACUGGGCGUAAAGCGCACGUAGGCGGUCUUUUAAGUCGGGGGUGAAAUCCUGGAGCUCAACUCCAGAACUGCCUUCGAUACUGGAGGACUUGAGUCCGGGAGAGGUGAGUGGAACUGCGAGUGUAGAGGUGAAAUUCGUAGAUAUUCGCAAGAACACCAGUGGCGAAGGCGGCUCACUGGCCCGGUACCGACGCUGAGGUGCGAAAGCGUGGGGAGCAAACAGG